UACUGGGCUGGACCCUAAAGUGCGUGUAAAGGCAGAGUCUGAAUGUGCCACAGAUAUACCUGAGAGCAAAGAGGAUUCAGAAGAUAUUGUGAAACAGGAUGUGCUGGCUGGGUAUACCGGCCCUGAAGUCAAGAAUGAGUUGGACCUGGCCUCGGAACUGUUACGUCAGAUCGAAAAUGCCCAUUGUGCCCUGGAAUCUCUGUCUGAAACACAGAUUAAGGAGGAGACAAAUCCGGAGUUUACAAGAUGUAUCGAGCAAAUAUUGCAGCAACACUGUGUUGUCAAACUCGAACGCAUACCUAUUGAUAAUUUGAAGAAAUCUCAACGCUAUUCAUUUGCCAGUUUAACUUCUACUC